rnacentral:ncRNA from 1 species
CUAGUCUGGGGUCGUCGCUGCCAAUCAGCGACCGGCUUUGACAGGCCGCCCU